rnacentral:rRNA from 1 species
UACGUAGGGUGCAAGCGUUAAUCGGAAUCACUGGGCGUAAAGCGCACGUAGGCGGACUCUUAAGUCGGUGGUGAAAUCCCGGGGCUCAACCCCGGAACUGCCUUUGAUACUGGUAGUCUCGAGUCCGGAAGAGGUGAGUGGAAUUCCGAGUGUAGAGGUGAAAUUCGUAGAUAUUCGGAGGAACACCAGUGGCGAAGGCGGCUCACUGGUCCGGUACUGACGCUGAGGUGCGGAAAGCGUGGGGAGCAAACAGG